rnacentral:rRNA from 1 species
GUUUAAUUCGAAGCAACGCGAAGAACCUUACCAGGUCUUGACAUACUCGUGCUAUUCCUAGAGAUAGGAAGUUCCUUUCGGGACACGGGAUACAGGUGGUGCAUGGUUGUCGUCAGCUCGUGUCGUGAGAUGUUGGGUUAAGUCCCGCAACGAGCGCAACCCUUAUUGUUAGUUGCCAUCAUUAAGUUGGGCACUCUAGCGAGACUGCCGGUAAUAAACCGGAGGAAGGUGGGGAUGACGUCAAAUCAUCAUGCCCCUUAUGACCUGGGCUACACACGUGCUACAAUGGUUGGUACAACGAGUCGCAAGACAGUGAUGUCAAGCUAAUCUCUUAAAGCCAAUCUCAGUUCGGAUUGUAGGCUGCAACUCGCCUACAUGAAGUCGGAAUCGCUAGUAAUCGCGGAUCAGCACGCCGCGGUGAAUACGUUCCCGGGCCUUGUACACACCGCCCGUCACACCACGAGAGUUUGUAAUACCCAAAGCCGGUGAGCUAACCUUUUAGGAGGCAGCCGUCUAAGGUAGGAUAGAUGAUUGGGGUGAAGUCGUAACAAGGUAGCCGUAUCGGAAGGUGCGGCUGGAUCACCUCCUU